UUAUUACACGUAAAUUAAAUAUAAAAUAUUAAUUUAUUUUUUUAGAAUUAUUUUUAUUAAAAAAUGGGAAAGUGUUGUGCCGUUUAUGGUUGCCUUAGUGGCCNAAAGGCAAGUGAGAAUUUAGGAAAAGUGGCUUUAUUCAAAGCACCAAAAAGCUGUCAAUAGAGCAACAAGACUUCCCGCGUAAGUAUUUAAACGAGUACUCUGUGAAAAGCAGCGCGCCCUAUCGGCAAAAUAUCUUGUCCCCUAAAUUAAUACCAUUCUUUCAACAUUACGUUCGGACUCCUGGUAUUUAUCCUCCGUGUAUCGCAUUAAGCGCUUUUGGAAAACCACAAUGGCGUAUUAUGAACCAAGAAAAGAAGUGAUGAUCACCACAAUAAAUUGUCUUGGAUUUAUAAAAGAAAACUCAAAUUAAAACGAGCUGAAAAUCGAAGAAAAAAGGAAGCCAUUAAUAAAAUAAAUGAAACUGCAACAAGGAUUGUUGUUCGCAAUCUACCAUUUGAAAUAAAAGAAGAUGAGGUUAGAACGUUGUAUAAAAAAUAUGGAGAAAUAGAAAAAAUAAUUCUUUUUGGUCAGUCGUUACCAGGUUGUGCAUUUAUAGAUUUUAAACGUAUACAAGAUGCAUCCAAAGCAAUAUUCAAUACAAAUAAAAUCGAAUUUUUAGGUAGGACGAUUACCUGCGGAUGGGUUCUUGAAAAUUCGAAACUUUAUCAAAAGUCAAAGAAUAUUACUGAAACCGAUAAUAAAAAUAAACCUUCCAAUUCCUCAUUAAAAAGAAAAAAUACAGAUAAAAAAAAUGAACAACACAAAUCUCUAACAUUACGAGAAAGUAAUAAACCAAAACAAAUGAGAAAACAUUAAUAGUCGUGUAAGAAUAGAAUGUAUUGUUUUCUAUUUUGCUAAAUAAAAAUCUAAUGAUCAAUA
rnacentral:misc_RNA from 1 species